UCGGCUCCUCGUAGCUAGCAACAUAAUUGCCGACGGAGGGUUCCGCCCCCAGUCCGACUUGUCUUCUCGAUGCCAAGGAGAGGGUGGGGGAAGAAGUGCGAGGUCGGAUCUCACGGCGUUGGUCUUUGUGUUCUUUUCACCAGGAAGAAGGUUAAGGGAGCAAAGAAAGAAAGGGAGGGAUGAGAUUACAUGUGAAGCGGAGGGGGGUUGACAGAAGAGAGUGAGCACGCAACGGGGAAAAAUGGUGUCUUGCGGUGCUGUUUCCGUUGUGUGCUCACCUCUCUCCCUGUAAGCCUUGAGAAACGUUCGCCUCGGAGAAUGAGAUCGCGACGGAAAGAAGCGGCCGAGCGUUCUUCCGUUGCUGAACUCUUCUCGGGAGUUCCUUCCACCACCUGAAGUUCCCCUCUCCUCUCGUCUUUUUUCGUCUACUUGCGUCCUUUUCUUGGAUUCGCUGAUGUGUGGCCGGGGACCUCUUUGCUUUCUCUGCCUUACGUCUCGUCGUUUCAAGAAAUCGGGGGCUUCAAUUCUUUGCCCAGGGUUUUCUAAGAAUUAGGGGAAAUUGUGGGAAAAUCGUGACUUUUGAGAAGGUAAGAGAGAGUAAGAGGAAAGAGUACAUUAGUCCUGUGUUCCUUCUUGUUCUCCGCUAUCUUCUAUUCCCUUGUUGGUUUCGUCUUUCUUGAUUCUGGCUCGUCUUGCCUAGGGUUUGAAGGUAAACUAUUAGGAUUUACCCGGAAGAGGUAGCCGUCUGAGGUUCGUUUAACCCCUUCCGUGGUGGCUUCACCAGAGCGGAGAAAGAUUAAGUCUUCAAUGACACGCCAUGAACCCUAAGUAUUUCUUUCUUGCAUAUAUCUCGCGAACCGCCACCUUCACCUUCAUCCCUUGAUCCCUUUUUUUGAUUUGCCAGGUCGAAUCGUGAGUCGUCAGGAUCACCCUUUUUUGUGCAUUUCUCUAUUCGUUUCAAAUGCUUCUUGUUUCAGAUAAGGAAGCAUCAUAGUUUUUCUCUCUUUUUUUUUGGAGAAUAGUGAUGAACCAUCGAUUAUUAUCCUCCCUUUUUCUUGUCCCCUCCACCUUUUAUCCACUAUCUGGAAUGAUACUGUAAAAGAAGACUGUUAGCAAGGAGCUUCUUUUUGCUUGUUAUUUCUCCGACCCUACAAGUUGCUUUCGGCAGAUGAUGACUCUUUCUCACUUGCUAACCACUCCUCGUGGUCCAGCCACUCAUUUGAUCCUCUGUCAUUUGUGGUUGAAGAUUGAUGGAAAGACCGACCAUUAAAGAACGCGUUCUUUAUUUUUUUUUCCCCCAAUGGAGUUCAUUGUGAUCCAGUGUUUAAACAUGGUGAAGACUCUAACAUGCAGAGAGCUAAAUUGACUCUUGAAAGGAUGUUAGUAUGAUUUGGUUUGCUUCUUGUCUCGUAAGAAUUAUCACCGUCUACUUUUGCUUCUUUCGUAUAUAAAAUAUCCUUGUGUUUAUUAAUGUUAAUAGCAGUACAAGCCACACAUAAUAGGCUUAUAUGAAGCUGCAAACACCAGAGCACUUUAGAGAUAGAAGGAUCAAGCAUAAAGCUUACCGAACUGUGAAAUUAGGCUUAUAUUCUACUCAGUAGUUACUUGCAUAGGAGAAUGAUUGUGGCUGUAAAGUUAAUAGCAUCAUGUUCAAGUUGCAUCAACAUGAAAUUCAUACUAAUUUUGUAUGCAAAAAGUCACACCUUUGAUAUAUACAUUGAGUCUGAACUGGUUUAUAAAUGAAAUAUAGGAGUCCCAUAUUAAAAAGGGAGGAGAAUUAAAUUAGUAUUGUGAAUAUAGGAAUCUACUACUAUUAAUUUGAGAUUAAAUAUUAGUUUCUUUGAUUGAACUAUUUAUUUGUUCAAUCGAAUUAAGCAUGAACCUAAGCCCUUCACUCGGGCGCUCACUUGAGGCGCUUAGUUUUAGACGAGCACUCAUGUGAUGCUUUAUCGAAAUGCCUCACUCGAAGAUUCUAUGAGACGCUCGGGUGAGCACUGACUGCGUGCUUUAAUGGUACCCUCAAGUGCAGUGCACAAAUUGAUCCUGCAAAUACGCAAUUGGUAUUAGUCAGAUACUGCAGUUUUAUAAUGUGUGUAUGCAUAUAGCAUGCAAAUAGUGUAUCAUGAUUACUGUUUGGCAAAGCAUAUCUAUUAUCAGCAUAAAUCAGUGCCGAUGAGGUACCUGUUUAAUCUACAUGUAUAUAGCAUGCUAUGCAUAAACAUUAGCUGUGUCAAUGUCUUGGGAAAUUGUUCUAUUACUGUGUUCUGCAUUAGUAAUGUAAAAAAAAAAGGAUUUCUUUUUAGCAUUCUUUCCAAAAUAACGGGAGAGAGGCAAUCUAUUUAAACAGUUUCCUCCCUUUCGGGAAUUGUCAUAUCCCCUCUACUGAUUACUUAAAAGGUUCGUGUUCCCUUCUGGAAUAAAAAAACAUGUUUCUUUUUUUUAUGGAGAAGUAAACUUUCCCUUUCCUUGUUAACUUUCGUUUUGGUUGCUUCGAGCACAAUAAUUGGUAUUAGUCCUUAUAUAGUCCUUAUCAAUAACCUACCUCUUAUGAACUUUAUGUUCUAAAAAUUCUUGUUCAUAUUUGUGUUCUUUUUGUAUGCAUGCUGGUGUUGCAUAUGAAUAUCCGUGCAUAAAUAUACAAUCUCGUUUACAUAUUCGCUAACGUGUGUGCAAUCAUGAGCAGAUAAAUUUACCAGAAAUGUGCCAUACAAGGGACAUGCAAGAUACAUAUUUGUUUCUAUAAAGAAUUUGUUCAUGUUUCUUGGAUUAUGGAAUCAAAUGUGGGUGGUAAUUGCCCGAUCCAAGGCUUAAGUGCAUAGAGGUGAUUGAGACAGAAGAGGUGAAGACCACGCAAUCAAAAGCAUGUAGGUCCAUCUCCCAGGCAAAUAUGACUGCAGAAGACACCACCAUAUCAAAGUGUCACUUCUGCAUAUGUUAACUCUCUAAUACCCAGUUCAUGUCUCUCUAGCACCACAAAGAGAGGAGGAAUACUCUAUCUAAGAUCGGGUGGAACUGGAUGGUGCUGAGUAAGUUUUCAUGUGAAGUUGACACCCCACCUUGAUGGUGAAUAAAAUUCUGUGUGCAGUCGGAAGAGAUGCAAUCCGGCUUAGGCUUCGAUUAGAGAUCUCUGCCUCUGGGGCCCUGCUGAGCAAAGCCCAAAGUUACCUUCUGUGGGUCAGGUUGGUGUUAGCAGGAAAUGUACCGAGGUACAAGAGAAGCUGGUGGGUGGUGAUCUUUGGGGUACUGUCGCCCUCGGGAUUUGCUCUGCACGAUACUGAAUGAGACCGUCACUCACCCAUAGCUGCACCCACCCAUUGAACACUGUUCGCACACUCUUAUUAUGAGAACAGUGGCUUGCUUUCUAAUAUGUAUAUGCUCCCUUGAAGAUCACUUUGAGCAAAGCAAAAAUUCUAACAUAAAUGAAGUUGUAAAUUCUAA